rnacentral:rRNA from 1 species
UACGUAGGGUGCGAGCGUUGUCCGGAUUUAUUGGGCGUAAAGAGCGUGUAGGCGGCCAGGUAGGUCUGCUGUGAAAACUCGAGGCUCAACCUCGAGACGUCGGCGGAAACCAUCUGGCUAGAGUCCGGAAGAGGAGAGUGGAAUUCCUGGUGUAGCGGUGAAAUGCGCAGAUAUCAGGAAGAACCCCCGUGGCGAAGGCGGCCCACUGGGCCGGUGCUGACGCUGAGGCGCGAAGGCGUGGGGAGCGAACGGG